AGGACGAACGCUGGCGGCGUGCCUAACACAUGCAAGUCGAACGAGAUCCAUCCAGUGGCAACACUGGUGAAGAUCUAGUGGCGAACGGGUGAGUAACACGUGAGGAACCUGCCCCGAAGACCGGGAUAACUCUCCGAAAGGAAAGCUAAUACCGGAUACCCCCAACCGAUCGCAUGGUCGGAUGAGGAAAUGGACUCCGCUUCGGGAGGGCCUCGCGGCCUAUCAGCUAGUUGGUGAGGUAACGGCUCACCAAGGCGUCGACGGGUAGCUGGUCUGAGAGGACGAUCAGCCACACUGGAACUGAGACACGGUCCAGACUCCUACGGGAGGCAGCAGUGGGGAAUCUUGCGCAAUGGGCGAAAGCCUGACGCAGCAACGCCGCGUGGGGGAUGAAGGCUCUCGGGUUGUAAACCCCUUUCAGUAGGGACGAAAUCAGACGGUACCUACAGAAGAAGCCCGGCCAACUACGUGCCAGCAGCCGC
rnacentral:rRNA from 1 species